rnacentral:rRNA from 1 species
CUCUAGCGAGACUGCCGUUGUCAAAACGGAGGAAGGUGGGGACGACGUCAAGUCAUCAUGGCCCUUAUGGCCUGGGCUACAAACGUGCUACAAUGGUCCGUACAAAGGGUUCCGAAGCCGCGAGGUGUAGGCAAUCCCAUCAAAGCGGGCCCCAGUUCGGAUUGCAGGCUGAAAUUCGCCUGCAUGAAGCCGGAAUUGCUAGUAAUCGCGUAUCAGCCAUGUCGCGGUGAAUAUGUUCCUGAUCCUU